UACGGAGGGUGCAAGCGUUAUCCGGAUUUACUGGGUUUAAAGGGUGCGUAGGUGGGUUGGUAAGUCAGUGGUGAAAUCUUCGAGCUUAACUCGGAAACUGCCAUUGAUACUAUCAAUCUUGAAUUAUCUGGAGGUAAGCGGAAUAUGUCAUGUAGCGGUGAAAUGCUUAGAUAUGACAUAGAACACCGAUAGCGAAGGCAGCUUGCUACACAGUCAUUGACACUGAGGCACGAAAGCGUGGGGAGCAAACAGG
rnacentral:rRNA from 1 species